GUUGGAAUUUCAGGGGAUCAAGGCAAAUGGCGCUGAGUAGAUCAACCAUGUUCUUGGUGGAGCAAUGUUGAAGGGGGGGGAAUGAUCCAGAUUUUCACCACCCUUUGUGUACAGCGUUGUGGCUCAACAUAAUUCCUGAUUGGCCUAAUUAAUUUCCCUACUGCUGGAUUUCCCCAGCAAAGCUGGAUGAAACUCCACUGCUCCAUCAGUAAACUUGCAUUAAAGGGGAACAUGACACACAACAAGCAACGAGGUUUCAAAAACCUUUUGUCAAUUUGCAAAAUCUACUAGGUACUGAUAUUCCAAUCCAAUGACAUUCCAGGGAAUUGUUAGAGUAACAUAAUCUCUGCAGUUGAAAGACCUGCAUUUAUAAAGCACUUUUCUCAACUCAGAAACCCUCAAAUCACAGUGAGGAACAUUUGCAAUGUGGAUGAAGGAAAUAAGGUCCAAAUCCUCCCCAGUUUAUGAAUGCCAGGCUUACAGUAUAUAUAAUAUACACUCUUUAUUAGGUACACUUCUACACCUGCUUGUUAAUGCAGUGGCAGUGUGGUGAUUGUCCAUCAUGUCUGACAACGACAGGAAACCUUUGUGAGAGAGUUUUUAAAGUUGAAAAGCCGUUGCACUGGGUAGUUCCACUCUUUCAACCUCAGAAGUUCGGGUCCAGUGGUAUGAACAAGGAUCACAUACUGGGAUCUUCCUUGAUUACAGCGGAUGACCAUGACAUCUUCUGUGCCCUGUCAUGUCCUUCAUACUCCAUGGAACUUUGCAGUACUGCCGUCUCAAACGUUGGAUCUCACCUGCCCAUUCCACCAGAACUAGCACGCUAGGACAGGCAUGUCCUCAUGAGGUCGGUAGCUAGCCUCACUUGGUUUAGCCCGGCUGUCGUAGUGGUGUACCAAGCUGUGGCUGCUGUCGCAAACAGUUACUUGGAGCCACUGUUGAGAGCUAAGUGUCCAGCGGGGACAGAAGGUGAGUGAGCUGUCCAUGGAAUGGACAUGACAAACCUCUUCACCAGAGGUGCAACCCUUCCCUGGACACCCCAAACACUCUCAUGUAGCAGUAACUCAGUGCAUAAAAGUAUGCAGACAUGUUCAAGAAGUUUAGAUGCUGUACAAACCAAACAUCAGAAUGGGGAAGAAUUAUGAUCUAAGUGACCUUGACCAUGGAAUGAUUGUUGAUGUCAGAUGGGGUGGUUUGAGUAUCUCAGAAUCUGCUGAUCUCCUGGAAUUUUCACUCACAACAGUCUUUAGAAUUUACAGAGGAAAACAGUGUGAAAGACAAAAAAACAGUGAAAUAUAGUUCUGUGCAAAAAUGCUUUGUUAAUGAGAGAGAUCGGAGGAGACUGAUUCAAGCUGACAGGAUAUUAACAGCAACCCAAAUAAUGAUGUGUUACAAUACAUCGAAUCUUGAAGUGGAUGAGCUACAGAGUAGAAGACCACAUGGGGUUUGACUCCUGUACCUAAUUAAGUGACCAUUCAUAAACUGGGGAGGACCUGCACAUUUGAAUAAGCGUUAAGGAGUCAGGCAGGAUGGAUCUGUUGGCUGCAGCUGUUCCCUGAGGCUCCUCAGUUGUGGGAGCUCAGUUCCUGGCCACAUUUCUGACUUGCAAACAGUUUGGGUCACAAACGGUUAUCAGGAAGGGAACCCUGUUGUCACCUGGGAACAACCUGUAGUCAGUUUGUGUACAGCAAGGUCUUACAAAAAACAGCAUGGGAAGUAUGACCAGAAAAUCUGUUUUGAUUGUGGAGAACUUCUGGUCAAAUAACAGGGAGAUUUUUAACUGUUCUUUAAAAUAGAACCACUUACAGACACUUCAGAGAAUAGGCAAGGUUUGGCUUGAUGUUCCCUUUGAUAGGCAGCGCCUUUGGAACUGAAAUCAUCAGUCUGAAUCUUGUGUUUAAAUUUCAGGAGAGGAGCUUGACCAACAAACUUCUGACUUGGAUACAAAUGUGAUCUUUUUGGUUACACAUGGGGCACAGAUUACGAAUUUUAAAUAAAGCUAAUGAUAUAUUUUACUUCCUCUUUAAGUUCUCAGAGAUGAUAUACCGAUUCUACGCAGUGGUUUUAUCACAGGCAGCUUCCUUUUGUACCUCAGCAGUUUUGUGACGGGGUGCCUUAAGCAAAGUAACUUAUGGAAUAUAUUCAGCAUUCAUUACAAUCUGUGAUUUUAUGGUGUGUUCGUACUUAUAAAAGCUGGUGCAAAUCAAUUUCUAUUUUCUAAACUUGUU